rnacentral:rRNA from 1 species
GUUUCAGCAGCCGCGGUAAUACGUAGGGUGCGAGCGUUAUCCGGAAUUAUUGGGCGUAAAGAGCUCGUAGGCGGUUUGUCGCGUCUGUCGUGAAAGUCCGGGGCUUAACCCCGGAUCUGCGGUGGGUACGGGCAGACUAGAGUGCAGUAGGGGAGACUGGAAUUCCUGGUGUAGCGGUGGAAUGCGCAGAUAUCAGGAGGAACACCGAUGGCGAAGGCAGGUCUCUGGGCUGUAACUGACGCUGAGGAGCGAAAGCAUGGGGAGCGAACAGGAUUAGAUACCCUGGUAGUCCAUGCCGUAAACGUUGGGCACUAGGUGUGGGGACCAUUCCACGGUUUCCGCGCCGCAGCUAACGCAUUAAGUGCCCCGCCUGGGGAGUACGGCCGCAAGGCUAAAACUCAAAGGAAUUGACGGGGGCCCGCACAAGCGGCGGAGCAUGCGGAUUAAUUCGAUGCAACGCGAAGAACCUUACCAAGGCUUGACAUGUUCUCGAUCGCCGUAGAGAUACGGUUUCCCCUUUGGGGUGGGUUCACAGGUGGUGCAUGGUUGUCGUCAGCUCGUGUCGUGAGAUGUUGGGUUAAGUCCCGCAACGAGCGCAACCCUCGUUCCAUGUUGCCAGCACGUCGUGGUGGGGACUCAUGGGAGACUGCCGGGGUCAACUCGGAGGAAGGUGAGGACGACGUCAAAUCAUCAUGCCCCUUAUGUCUUGGGCUUCACGCAUGCUACAAUGGCCGGUACAAUGGGUUGCGAUACUGUGAGGUGGAGCUAAUCCCAAAAAGCCGGUCUCAGUUCGGAUUGGGGUCUGCAACUCGACCCCAUGAAGUCGGAGUCGCUAGUAAUCGCAGAUCAGCAACGCUGCGGUGAAUACGUUCCCGGGCCUUGUACACACCGCCCGUCAAAC